CAGUCACACAUGCACAAGCGAGCAGGUUUUAUUUUAAGCUCUCCAACAUUUUAUUUCUCCAUUUAAUAAACAAACUAUUCAGUCAGAUAGGUAUUUGUCAUGAAAGAAAUACAGUUACAAUUUCAAGCAUUUUAUCCAAAAUGUAAGCACUUUUCAAACCUUGAAAACACAACAUCAAAAUUCAAGCAUUUUCAAGGAUUUCAAGCACCCGUACGAACCCUGCUGGUGACAGUCAACACC